rnacentral:rRNA from 1 species
GUCUACGGCCAUACCACCCUGAACGCGCCCGAUCUCGUCUGAUCUCGGAAGCUAAGCAGGGUCGGGCCUGGUUAGUACUUGGAUGGGAGAAAUGAAUGAUAAUUCACUUUCAGUAACCU